GAUGAACGCUAGCGACAGGCCUAACACAUGCAAGUCGAGGGGGGUUGAAGCGAGAGGUAACUCGAGCUUCUACCUAGCGGCGGACGGGUGAGUAACGCGUGGGCAACCUGCCUCAAGGUUUGGGAUAACAGCCCGAAAGGGCUGCUAAUACCGGAUAUGCCUAUGGCCUCGCAUGGGGCUAUGAGCAAAGGGGAAACCCGCCUUGAGAUGGGCCCGCGUCCCAUCAGCUAGUUGGUGAGGUAACAGCUCACCAAGGCGACGACGGGUAGCCGGCCUGAGAGGGUGACCGGCCACACUGGGACUGAGACACGGCCCAGACUCCUACGGGGGCAGCAGUGGGGGAUCUUGCACAAUGGGCGAAAGCCUGAUGCAGCGACGCCGCGUGAGCGAAGAAGGCCUUCGGGUUGUAAAGGCUCUGUCUGGAGGGACGAACAAAAUGACGGUACCUCCGGAGGAAGCCACGGCUAACUACGUG
rnacentral:rRNA from 1 species